GCUCUCGUAGCUCAAUGGAUAGAGCAGUCCCGUCCUAAGGGAAAGAUUGGAGGUUCGACUCCUCUCGAGAGCGCAA
rnacentral:tRNA from 1 species